AGAGGAACUAGGAGAUAGAAAAGCGAAAAAGAAGGGUCAGCGGCCAGGCGCGGCGAGCCUGUUCAACAUCCCAACAGGCGAUCUUGAGCCGGGCAGCUCCUAACCCAGUUCUGGCCGCAGCGCCGAGAGACUGAACAAACAGGGCACAUGUUUUACUAUCCUGGAAAACUCGCCACCUGUGCGUAUAACCUGAAGAAUCAUCAAGUGGAGAAUCAGUGGGGAGCAGGUCUGUGAAUACAAAGCGCCAUCUUAGUGAUGAAUGUGAGGAUUCACGCCUGGCCUGACUCUUCCUGAGUCUGCCUCUUCUGAAACUGCAUCAGUGUGGUCCCUUCCCGUGAGCAAGGCUGCAAGCUGCUCUUAGAAAUCAGGGGCAGCUCGGGGAGGAGGUACCUAGGCAGGAGCUGUUUAUGCUCAAGUCCUGGAGAAGCAGCAGCUGUGUUUGCUCUCAGCCCAGAGUGAUCAAGGGCAACCUCCUUGUGAACAAACUGGAGUUGUGUGGAGAUCCAUCUAGGAGAGCUCAUCUGCUCCCGAAGAGGGCUGUGCAGAGCUGUCGUAACAACUGGACUAGCGAAUACAAUACAACUUGCAUCUGCCAACACAGAAGAUGAUAUUUUAAAAAAAAGAAAACAUCGUGUUAAGAAAACUCAUCUGUUACUCAAGGCAAGACCUCAGGCCCCCAUGGGUGGGUAGGAAUUGAAAAUAAGGAAGUCUGCAGUCCGUCACUCACAAGUCAGGACGGUGGGCAUGAGGGCCGCGAACAUGAGGAACAGCAUGGAGAAGAAGAGGAAGCCCGAGUUACUCAAGACCUUCUUGGCUUCGUUCCCGAUCCCCAAGUACAGCAGGCCAAUGAGGAGGCCGAUCCCGAUGUGCGAGGUGAUGCGCAGGUGCGUCAGAACCUGGGGACAGAGCCGCGUCUUACCCGGUGCAUGCACAGCAGCCCUCAGCUCCGAGGGUAACCCGGCUGUGGCUUUGGAAGCGUGUGACCCUGAACUCUGGACAGUGGGUCUCAGGCUUCAUCAUCCCCUCUCCACCAGAAAAACAAGCCAAACCCUAAGACAACUCACAUUCAUGCACAUGCUCACACACAUUAAUACACGCAUGUUCACACACAUACGCACACAUGUGGGGCUUUUGUUGUGUUAAAACAGACACAACUACUAUUGUUUGUUAAAGAUUCAAAAUGGAGAACAGGUCUACCCUGAGAAAAGAGGAAAGGUAAAAGCAAUGGAGAGGGAAAAGUGUCUGUAUCAGAGGCUCCAAGUGCUCUGCUAUGGGCUGCAGUGAACCCCUCUGUCUUUCAAAUUAGGUCCCAGAAGCCUCGCCAGUCGUUCAGCCCCUCCUAAGCAGGUGGCCAGAUAGUCCACUUCCCUGGUGGACAUUAUGGUUCCCACGUAUUCACCACCUCCUUCCCUAUAAGGAAUUGCCACCUCCCAACCCAAUCCUCAUGAUUCACAGUGCUUUCCUGAAGGAGAAAUGGACUUGCCCAGUGCCCUGGUUUCAGGCUUGGCCAUGUGACUGGUUUAGGCCAAUGGCGUGUGAGUACACAUGAUGAUCUGCCACCUCCAAUUGGAAGUCUCAAGGACUGUCAUUUGCUUUCUCUCUUGCACUUUUCCUUUGACCUGUUCCAGAGAGGCAUGCCCAGAUAGGAGCUGUCCCCAGGUGAGAAGACUUAUGGGACAGAGACACAACACAACCCACUGUUGCCACCCCUCACAUAAGCAGGACACAAAUAUUGAUUGGGGGGACACGGACAUUUUGGGAGUGUUUGUUACUGCAGCAGUAUAGUCAACACUGACUAUUGCAAAUGGAAGAAAAGUAAUUUGAAAGUUUAGUGAUAUGGCUCGGGUCUGUGUCCCCACACAAAUCUCACAUUAAAUUGUAAUCCCCAGUGUUGGAAUUGAGACCUGACUGGAUCAUGGGGCAGACGGACUUCUCCUUCAGUCCUGUGCUUGUGACAGUGAGUGAGUGAGUGCGACAUUUGGAUUUUUUUUUUUUUUUUUGAGGCAGAGUUUUGCUCUUAUUACCCAGGCUGGAGUGCAAUGGCACAAUCUCAGCUCACUGCAACCUCCGCCUCCUGGGUUCAAGCAAAUCUCCUGCCUCAGCCUCCCAAGUAGCUGGGAUUACAGGCACGCACCACCAUGCCCAGCUAAUUUUUGUGUUUUUUAGUAGAGACGGGGUUUCACCAUAUUGACCAAGAUGGUCUCAAUCUCUUGACCUCAUGAUCCACCUGCCCUGGCCUCCCAAAGUGCUGGGAUUACAGGCGUGAGCCACCGUGCCCAGCCCAAGAGAUCUGGAUAUUUGUGUGUAGUACUCCAUCCACCUUCUUCUGCUCUGCCAUGUAAGAUCUGCCUACCUCCCCUUCACCUUCCACCAUGAUUGAAAGUUUCCUGAGGCCUCCCCAGCCAUGCUUCCUAUGUAGCCUGUAGAACAAUGAGCUGAUUCAACCUCUUUUCUUUAUAAAUUCCCCAGGCUCAGGCAUUUCCCUCCCUCCCUUCCUUCCUUCCCUCCUUCCUUCCUUCCUUCCUUCCUUCCUUAUUGCUUCCUUCUUUCUUUCUUUCUUUUCUUUUCUUUCUUUUUUGAAACAGGAGUCUUGCUCUGUUGCCCAGGUUGGAGUGCAAUGGUGAGAUCUAGGCUCACUGCAACCUCCACCCCCUGGGUUCAAGGACUUCUCCUGCCUCAGCCUUCCUAGUAGCUGGGAUUAUAGGUGUGCGCUACCAUACCCCCUAAUUAUUAUAUUUUUAGGAGAGAUGGGGUUUUGCCAUGUUGGCUAGGCUGGUCUCAAACUCCUGACCUCAGGUGAUCCACCCACCUUGGCCUCCCAAAGUGUUGGCAUUAGAGGCAUAAGCCACCACGCCCAGCCUCGGGAAUUUCUUUAUAGCAGCGUGAGAAUAAAUGAACACAUUCCAUCAGGGCGAGUCCAUGAGAAAAUGACCCACGGCCUCCCUAGCCAUGGGAGAAGAUGUGAGGCAGCCUUACCGAGUCCCUCAUGAUGCUGAGGAAGGUCCUCUUGAAGAGGAUACAGAACUGCGUCAGGCAGCUGGCAGAGAAGCUGUGGCAGCCUUCCAUGGACGAGGAGUCCUGUGGACACAUCCAAGAGGGGACUGGUGAAAACCAGCCUGGAGCCACGGCUCCUUCUCACUCGGAAAGAGCUAUCACGCAGCGAUAUACAGCGCCACAUGCAGCCUCCCCAGGGGCUUCGGGAUUUGCAUUACCUUUCUCAACCCCUUCAAUCGUUUUGUCUGCUUUACCUCUUCAGAGGGCCGGUGCCAAAGAAAAGGGUUCACCUCGGCAUCACCCCCAAGGUCUCUCUUAUGGUCAGAGUCACACAUGCCCUCCCGAACUGCUCUCACCAGGCGACCGUUCUGAUCACCAUACUCGCCAGAUGCAACCUCCAUAACUGUAGGAGACACAGAAGUGGGGUCAGCCCAGGCUCCAGGAAAGAUGCCCCAAUCACACAAAUGUGAAAGUCGUUUCUCAAGUGGGAAUGUUUCAAAGUGAUUCCAUAGGUGCUGCAUGGCGGUGCUGACGGCAUGGCGUCAGAAUCACUUAUCAACCAGCAUUCGGCUCUCAAACUCCCAGCCAGGCCGUUCAUCACGUCAGGAGACUGGAAACACACACAUAGUGCUGUCGGGUGCAUGUACUGAUGGCUCAUCCAGUGGUACUUAAAUUCCUGCUCUGUGCCAGCCUCCGAGGUAGAGCUGGGGAGGGGAGCAGGAAGCCGGAGGCAGGACUCCUCCCUGAGGAGCCUGUGGUUUGGCAGGGUGUGAUGAGAGCUGCAGCAGUUCUACAAGACCGCAGAGAAGGACAUGCCCACUGCCACACAUGUGGCUGGUGCCCUGGGGACCUCGACCUACACCUCUUAGAGCCAAGGGAGGUGAUGAAGCCUUACAAUGCUGGUGACACCCAGAAUCCCACGACCCACCACCGGGGCCAAGAGAGGACUCUGCUCAGCCCCUUCAGCUCCCCAGCCCCCUUCCCUGCCUGUGGGUCCAGAAGUCUCACAAAACCUAGCACCUAAACACUCUCAAAAAUGAAGACACCCUACAAGACUGGGACUGUGCAGGCCCAAGAGAAACAAACACAUGACCCCUCCCCGCAGAAGGCUGCUGACACACUGCUGUCAGAUCUAGCUGGACUUUGGAGAGGUGAGUGCUUGGCAGAAGUGAGACCACAUAAAGUCUGGCUGAAGUCAUUUCAGGAGCAGCCUGGUUCCCAUCCUGGGACAACUGAAUAGGACACGCGCCGGAGUCAGGUGAGCUCGACCCAUGGCCAGGGGCACCAGAGCCAAGACUCCAGAGCAGCGACUUCCCAAGGGAGCCCCAAACAUAAAGGGCAUCACCCAGGAAAGGGAUCAGGGCACCCGUAGCUAUAGAGGGCUGGUGAGCACCCGAGGGAGGGUUCUGUCCUGCGGGCAUCUCUGAGCCUCUGAUGUGGUAAAGUGUGAGGCGUUUCCAGAACACAUCUGAAGACAGAACACAUCUGUCCCAUGACGCUGGCCUUCGGAGUGACUGAGCCAUGGGGAACUUGCAUCAUGGAAGAGACAAGCAUCAUGAAAGGGAGAUGGUUUCCCCCAAAACCAUAUCUCCAGGCUCAACACAUGCCUUGCCGGCCUCAGCAGAGGGACGUCUCUGAGCAGAGGCGGGAAGGGGUAUAAGUCAGCCCCUCUGCCCAGCAGUCCCAGAUGGAAGGAGGAGCCACUGGGCGAGCAGAGCUCACCUCACCCCUCUGAGGCUGCAUCAGGAUGUCAGGGUCACCUGAACAAAGGGGCUUCUUCCUGCUCCUGGACACCAGCCCAGACGCUCCUGACUUACCUGGUGGGCUCAUCGAAGAACAUGACUGGUGGGUUGUUCACCAGCUCCAGUGCGAUGGCCAGGCGCUUUCGCUGGCCACCCGACAGGCUCCCCGUUCGCGUGUUGGCGCAAGACAGCAGGCCCAGUGCUGUCAGUAUCUCCUUGACCUGGGGGCGGCAGAACCAGAGACAUUGGAUUAUUUGAGCUGCCAGCCAAAGCUCACCACCUCCCAUGGCCCACGAGGGAGACCUGCUGGCUGCCCUCAGCCUGCUGGACACACUGUGCCUGGUCCACAUGGAGGUUGCCCAAGUCGAGCCCUCCCCAGGCUGCCUGGUGCCAAGUGGGGCAGGUGCCAUUUCCACAUCAGCAGUCCUGAUGAGGGACAGAGGUUGCCCAGAGGCUGUGCAGCAGUGCUGGGGUCAGACCUGAGGGCUUUCGUCCUCAUCAGCCAUAUGGCCUCUGGCAGGUGCUCAGGGCACCUUCCUCACUGCUAAGCCUAGCCCAGUGCCCUGUACAGAGAAGGUGUUCAGUAAACAGUUGAACUGAUGGAUGAAUGGACACAUGAGAGGAUGCACAAUUUCUGGUGGUUUCUGCCCAGAUUGAAGGGGAGGGUCACUGUGACCGUUACUUGAAAAAGUGAAUGCAGAGAGCGCAGAGCAGCACGGAACCCUCGAAGGCUCUUCCCAGAGCUCUUGUCAUUGCUGAGGUGGGCGUUAAGGGCAGGGACACAGUCAUAAGCACCAGGGCUCUCAGGAAGGGGGACAGCGUCACUUUUGUUCUUGUAAAUAGGUUUGACUUGAAAGCAAGGUCUCCAAGGUGCCAGGAAGGCAAUGGAACAGAUCUGCAGUGCCCCUCAAAGCAGUUAUGACCCAUGGUAGCCACCCCUCGGCCCAGGCUCCAGGAAGCAGGCUGCACGCUAAGAUACAAGCAGGGCACUGUGCACGGAGCCCUCCCUGUGUGCUCCGGAUUAUUGAUCCUGUACUGACUCAGGGAACACAGAGGUCAGCAGAUUUCUGUGUCGGCUUGGUACUGCUUUCGCCCCCGAGUCUUCUCAGAAGCAGGCCUGGGUCAGCCACUGCCAUCCUUGCCUCCCUACCCUGGGGGCAGCCGGCCUGGGCCUCCCUCCAGCAUUCACCCAGCUAGCCUCCCCACCCCGGUGGGGCAAAGCCAGCGGACCCUGGUCCAGCGGCUCCUCUAGGGAGAUGAAGUCAUCGGAGGGAGCAGGAACACACAAGGAAGAAAAUUUCCACUCUGGGCUUUUGAAUUAUUUAUGCACGGUCAGUACAAAGUGCAGCUUUGGUGACAGAAGGAAGCGGGGCACGGCUGCUGGACCGGCCAGGGCAGGUGGCAGUGCAGGGUCAGCUGACCUGGGCUCCAGCCCUGUCCUGAGCUCUUGCUGAUGCUCUUGCCCCAGCUCUGGUGCCUCCACUGGACUACUGGCUCUGAGGGCCACCAAACCAGAAACAGCUUCCAGGAGGCUGUCUGGAAAGGCUGGCAGGUGGGGGGCAUGCAAGGUGGGCAGGGCCCUCUUCUGCUGGUGUCCCAGGAUGAGGCCUCGGGGUCUUCUGGAACCACUGGCCACAGCUGGGGCUUCCAGGCUUACCGUGGGGCCCCACACAUGCGCCACAUCUUCUUCUCUCCCUCCCCUCUGACAGAGGGGAUGCUGGAAACGGAGGCCUCUGUGGAUGCCUUUCCCUCUGCACCCUUGCCCAUGAGCUGGGCCCACCCCACUUUCUCCAGAGUCCUCUCAGGAGGGACGCCACCCAGGUGGGUCUAUUUUAAAGACUAGUCAGAAAGAACAAACAAUGAUCUCAGUUGUUUAUACAUUUUCCCUAAACAAGAAACUUGCAAGCCUGGUGUAGCUCCAGCCCCCUGGGGCCUCCCAGCAGGUGCUCCAGGGAAGGUCUCAGCAGCCCAUGCUGCCCCUGGGGGCCUCACUCUUGAGGAAGUGGCCUUGCUGGAGGGCUCUGGGGAACUGAGGCUGCUUUGCUGGGAAUCAAGAAAGGCCGUGCACAACUCAUUCCACCGACUACUAGAACGUUCCAUUCCAUUGUGUUUCCAUGAGACAGAGAGAGAACCUGGACCCAGGUGCACCUCAGGGGUUAGAGGGAAGUGAGUGAAGCCGUGACAUGGCUGCGUGUCCUCCUGACGGCUGAGGAACAGAAGUGCGGGUCCCAGCUGCGUCUGCUAGUGAGAACAUGUGGUGGACGCAGUGUGGCCCCUCCGUCCUGUGUGGAGGGCUCUCUGCACUGUUCAAUCCAGCCUCAGAGGAAUCAGGACGGUGCCAGGGGCUCACUCCUCGGGGGUGAUUCAGCCACAUGAGCUGAUAUUUUUGCCCUUGUAAACCCAGCAGAAAGCAGCUGGAGGCUGUCUUCGGGGCUGUCUUAGGCAGGGCCCAGGUGCCAUGAGGACACACACCCUUGGGUGCCGCCUGCCCUCAGGCCCCACGUAGCUGCUCCCAGGAGGCGCUUCCAUUCCCUGCCGAGGUGCUGGCUUGUUCUGGGUCUUCUCGCUCCGGCAGGUGAAGGGCCUGGCUUGCUGUGGCCUCGGCACAGAGCCUGCUGAGGAGCACUCACUGUGCACCCAGGGAGAGUCUUUCCCGAGCUCUUCCAGAAAAGGCUGGUGGCUGUCACCUCGAGCUGCAGGGAAUUGAUCCCACAGUCCCUCCAUAGGGAUCACAUGGGCUCCAUCGACCUCAGAGACCUUAAAGAAACAUCCAGUUCAGGCUGGCACUGGCCUGAAAAGCAAGUGGGGCCUGGCUUCCUGUCCCCAUGUUAUAGGGCAAAGCUCGGCUCGUGCAUGGCAGGCAGUAGCCCAAGGCCACCAGUGGGUUCCAGGAGGGGUCCCCUGUGUGCUUAGCUCCACCUCACUCCAGGACCUCUCCGUGUUAGCAGGGCUCUCCACCCUCUGCCUCCACACCUGCUCCCCCCGAAUCCGGUGAUCCCCAAGACCCUCUCCCUCAUCUGCUCUGUCCUCAGACCUUUGGUUUGGAUCAGAGAGACAGAAUUCCCUCUCUCCAGUGCCUCAUGCUCCAGAGCGCUCGGCCCCUCUUCCACAACGACCAUCAGUGGCUGAUUCCACCAUCUCUCCUUGGAGCCCCCACAGCUGCCCCUCAGCUUGCAGGCCAGCGUCUGGAGGGGUCUUUGGGACCUUGAAGGAGGGCAAAGAGAUUGGACUGUGCUUCCGACACCCCUUGAAAGCAGGGAGGUUGGGGGAUGGGAAGGAGGGCCCUGAGAGGUGGUCCCAGGGGCACUGUGGUCCUCUGGGCUUCAAAAGGAGCAGCUUCUUGAGUCUCCGGGUGGAAAAGCCUCUGCUCUGUGGGGGCCCUGCACACUCUUGCCAAUCUCUCCUCUUGUCCUGCAGCUGAUGGCAAGGAGGACCCAGGGGUGGGAGGCGGCAAAGCUGACCUCAGACAGGGAGAGUGGAGGUCACCCUGGCUCAAGCCCGGGGCCCCCGUUCUGUUGAUUUCUGUGCAUCUCCCACGGGAGACUUUGCCGAGACUCAGCUCUGACAGCUGGCUUUCUGUGUGUUCUUCCGUGUGCCUUCGGUGUGGAGAAUGAAGGCUGUGAUUUAGCGCCCCACACCAGGCACUUCCACAACAGAAAUUCCUGUCUCAAUUCCGGAGGCCACAGUCUGGGGUGGAGGGCAGCAGGGCUGGUUCCUAAGGCCCCUCUCCUGGGCUGGCAGAUGCCGCCUCCUCCUGUGUCCUCAUGGGAUCAUCCCUUGGGCUGUGUCUGGGUCCUCUUCUCCUCUCACAGGGACACAGUCAGACUGGACUGGGCCCCCCAUAUGAAUCCACUUUAACUUCAUCACCUCUAUUAAGACCCUAUCUUCAAAUACAGCCAAUUCUGGGUUUCGGGGCAUAGGCUGUAACAUACCAUCUUUUUUGGGGUACUCAGGCCAUAACACUCAUCUUCCAUAACUUGGUAUCAUCAACACUCUUGGGCUUGGAGGUGAUGUGUGUGUGUGUGUGUGUGUUGAGGGGGGCGCAGAUGUCUAUGUUACGUUGUUUAGAAAACCCUGUCCAGAGAGGGUUCUCGCCUUUCAACCUAGACAAUAAAGUCACAAGGCUGGGUCUUCUGUCCUCAUGAAGGGCCAGAAACACAUGAUUUCCACGUUUUCUCUCUUUUGGGUUCCGUUAAUCCAUUUUCUUUUCAAUCUCAGAAUACAAGAAUUCCACACAAAACAUUUUCUGUAGCAAUGAAGCAUUAUUUUACUUCUCUCAGACACUGGGCUCUUUCUACCUACACUGGGCAUUUGAGCCCCGGACCGCGAUGACAUGGGCUGAGUCCUGAGUUUCAAAGGGUGCAGUUGCCGGGCAGAGGCGGGGAGAAGGAGUGUUAAGGUGCCGGGCAGAGGCAGGGAGAGGGAGCAUUAAGGUUGUCCGACUCUUUCCUCCAUAGCAGAGUGGUUCACAUUUACUUAAUAUUAGCGGUUACGCACCACAGCAGAGGGGGAAAUGAUGAAAACAGAAUUGCUGGGUGUUUCUCUAUCCCAUCAAUCACUCCAUUUUAAACCAGGACACAAGGGGCCAGGUCGAGCCAUUGGCACUAACCCAGCAAACCUCACUCUCAGUGGCUGGACUGCGGUCAUGUAAGGGUGUUAGGAGAGAAAGAUAAUGUUACAGAAGAGGGGUUCCCCAGACCCCAUCUCAUGCUGAAAAUCCCACCAGCACUCGCCAGAGUGGAAAGGACAGUGGGCUUCCCAGGGAGGGUGUGUGAGCCCAGGCUGGUGGGCUCCUUCCUGUGUGGCUUUCUGCUGCUCCCCCUGGCUCUACCCACCUGCACCUGUCCCUGCUUCUGAAUUUGUGAAGAAAAAAAAAAAUUGGCUAUGGGGAUUAGAAAGUCUUCAUCAUCCUGAAAAUGUCUUUAUUUUCUUUUUUAAAAGGCUGGUUAAUAACACGUAAGAACUAAAGUUCUUCUUGCAAGUGCGGGUGGGUGGAGGGUGGUUAUUUUUAAAUGAAUGACUAACCAUCUUCAUUGUUUUUGUCUUAUAAAACAUUGAAUACAGAUCAUAUUAAACACUGAAAGGUGCAGCACUCGUGGUCUAACCCUGAAGCUGGCAUCUUCUGGCCCCAUGAGUGCCAAGGCUGCCGCCCCUCACGUUACAUUGUGACUCCUACAUCUGAGAAUCAAAUCCAUGAUGUGUGCACCAGAUCCAUCUCUCCUGGCGUCUGGCUGCAGCAGGCCACAGCACUCCCUGAAAUGUCACCUGUCCCACACACGGAAGGCAAGGCAAAAACAAAUCAACAAACAAAAGCCAGUGCCAGAAACCCGGCAGGCACGCUUUCCGCAUGCCCUCCAUGUACUUUCCGGACCACUUACCAUCUCCCUUCUGCCUUCAUCCUUCUCCUGAAGCUUCAGAUGUGCCGACACCUGCGGGGGACAAGGACAGCAGUGUAGAAGCAGAACAGAUGGCCAUCAGCAGGCAGGUCCAGUGGCGAGGUUGGAGAGGACAGAGAAGACAGCAGGGGUCACUAGUCACAUCUGCGGAGAAAGCAGCCACUGGGUCUCGAGCACGUGGCCUUGGGGUUCACUCAAGAACUCACUGAGAAGCCAAACUCACACUACCAAAGAGGCAGGAGCAAUUCGGGAAUCAGCAGGGUGUGUGUGAAGCUCGAGUUUACGGCAUACACAGAACAGUGACCAGCAGGUAAAGAGAACUUCACGGCUGCUUUGCACCUUAUGUUUGCCCCCUCCUCAGAGGUCCUCGUGCCCCAUCUGAACGUCCAUUUGGAGGCCAGAUCAACAGUCAGGGUACCAUGGGGCACACAGCGCCUAGGUAGGCUCGGCCCAGGGAAUGGCAUCCGCUUACCCACAGAACAUGCAGGACCAGGGGACAUGAGUGGGAAUAGCCCUGCAGGUUCCUCUCUUUCUGUUUCCCCACAAAGAAGGUUAGAUAGCAGAUCACGUGUUUGCAAAUGUAACCUGCUUCUCUUUGCUGAGCUAAGAACCCCUUGGCAUUGCCCUUCACAUGACACGCUAGGCAGCUGCCACUCUCGGUCACCACAGGGAGGGAGCUUUGCCCAACCCCAGUCAGAAAGGCCAGGUAGGAUCUCUCCAGGCAGAAAACCAAGGUGAACCCUCAUCUAUGACCAAAGCACAGAGCAGACCGAACUGAGGGUGUCCCCUAGGGUGCCAGGAGAGACGUGAAGCCUGGAGACUCUUUUUUUGCAGCGAAUAAAGAGGAAGCAGAAAAAUAAACAGCCCUCCACACAAAGCCAGCCAUGACUGGCAACCGGAGCUGCAUGCUGAUUUUCAGUCUCCUCUUGAUGGGAGGAUUCUCAUGGCCACCUCUGAGUUGAGCCUUUAAAAAGUAAACAAAAAAUGGCCCCCGCUGGGCACAGUGGCUCACACCUGCAAUCUCAGCACUUUGGGAAGUCGAUGCAGGCAGAUCAUGAGAUCAAGAGUUCAAGACCAGCCUAGUCAACACAGUGAAACUCGUCUCUACUAAAAAUACAAAAAUUAGCAGGGCACGAAGGUGGGCACCUGUAGUCCCAGCUACUUGGGAGGCCGAAGCAGAAGAAUUGCUUGAACCUAGGAGGCAGAGGUAGCAGUGAGCCAACAUUGUGCCACUGCAUUCCAACCAGGGUGACAGAGUGAGACUCUGUCUUAAAAAAAAAAGGCCCUGGAAGCCCAGAGGCAUGGCACUGGGCUGGGUCAUGGUCUGCCCAAGGAACACAACCAGCUGUUUCAGAAAGCCAGGCAUAGGACACCUCCUGGACCCUUCUGUGGCCCCAAGAGGGGGAGGUAUUUUUAAACCUCCCCAAAUGCUGGACUUGUCCACAGGGAAGGUAAGUGAAGACACUAUGGGAAGGCUUACUAGGAGUGAAAAGAAACAGUCACCAAGUUGAAUGGAUUAGGCACCAACUGUAUACCAGAAUUCCACCCCCCCCUCCCUGCAUCUUCCCUUUCAGUGUUUACACCGACCCUGUGCGGUCCUGCAGAUGAGGACACUGAGGCUGUAAGGGGGAAGCAGGUGCGUGGCAAGGAGGUCGAGCUGCCAGUCACAGGCGCACCUUUGGAGGAGACAGCUCUGGCCACACAUGGCCAUCGGCAGCCGGGCGGCCCUGGGCUCCUUGCGUUACUGGGGGAAGCUCCAUUUCUCAUCCACUUUCUUGGGAUGACCUAUCUGGUGUGUGUAGAGCUAUGUGCUUGGGGCCAGGGAUCCAGGAGAUGCUCGGCCAUUGCUGGUUUCAUUUUCCCACCUGGCAGGCAGCUGACUCAGAGGAAUAGACCCUUGGGGUUGACUAAGACACCAGGUGAGUGGGUGCUUGGGCCAAAGACACAGAAUGACUCAAGGAUGGCUGAUGGGAAGGAGAAUCCCAAGCAUUGGCCUGCAGGGGAAAUGGGAUGUCCGCUGCCCUGGUUGGAUCACCCAAGUCAGCUGGGUUACUAACCUUCUCAGAAGCUUGACCCCAACCCUGCCAAACAAGGCCCAUUAAACUCAAGGUCUUGGGGGUUUGGGGAUGAAGCUGCUGUCCCAACAGCAAGCCUGGAGUUAGAACUCUGCUAGAGGGAGGUGCU